GAAGCGAUGUGAAUCCACCCCGUACGACGUGCUAAUGUUCUGGGUGUCGGAAGGGGCCGGGCCGAAAGGGCCGGAACCGGAAGA
rnacentral:tRNA from 1 species